rnacentral:rRNA from 1 species
AUUGAACGCUGGCGGCAGGCCUAACACAUGCAAGUCGAGCGGAUGAAGGGAGCUUGCUCCUGGAUUCAGCGGCGGACGGGUGAGUAAUGCCUAGGAAUCUGCCUGGUAGUGGGGGAUAACGUCCGGAAACGGGCACUAAUACCGCAUACGUCCUGAGAGAGAAAGUGGGGGAUCUUCGGACCUCACGCUAUCAGAUGAGCCUAGGUCGGAUUAGCUAGUUGGUGGGGUAAAGGCCUACCAAGGCGACGAUCCGUAACUGGUCUGAGAGGAUGAUCAGUCACACUGGAACUGAGACACGGUCCAGACUCCUACGGGAGGCAGCAGUGGGGAAUAUUGGACAAUGGGCGAAAGCCUGAUCCAGCCAUGCCGCGUGUGUGAAGAAGGUCUUCGGAUUGUAAAGCACUUUAAGUUGGGAGGAAGGGCAGUAAGUUAAUACCUUGCUGUUUUGACGUUACCAACAGAAUAAGCACCGGCUAACUUCGUG